rnacentral:rRNA from 1 species
AACGAACGCUGGCGGCAUGCCUAACACAUGCAAGUCGAACGAGAUCUUCGGGUCUAGUGGCGCACGGGUGCGUAACGCGUGGGAAUCUGCCCUUUGGUUCGGAAUAACAGUUGGAAACGACUGCUCAUACCGGAUGAUGCCGGAAGUCCAAAGAUUUAUCGCCAGAGGAUGAGCCCGAGUAGGAUUAGCUAGUUGGUGUGGUAAAGGCGCACCAAGGCGACGAUCCUUAGCUGGUCUGAGAGGAUGAUCAGCCACAAUGGGACUGAGACACGGCCCAGACUCCUACGGGAGGCAGCAGUGGGGAAUAUUGGACAAUGGGCGAAAGCCUGAUCCAGCAAUGCCGCGUGAGUGAUGAAGGCCUUAGGGUUGUAAAGCUCUUUUACCCGGGAUGAUAAUGACAGUACCGGGAGAAUAAGCUCCGGCUAACUCCGUGCCAGCCGCCGCCGUAA